GAUGAACGCUGGCGGCGUGCCUAAUACAUGCAAGUCGAGCGAACGGAUAAGGAGCUUGCUCCUUUGAAGUUAGCGGCGGACGGGUGAGUAACACGUGGGUAACCUACCUAUAAGACUGGGAUAACUUCGGGAAACCGGAGCUAAUACCGGAUAACAUUUAGAACCGCAUGGUUCUAAAGUGAAAGAUGGUUUUGCUAUCACUUAUAGAUGGACCCGCGCCGUAUUAGCUAGUUGGUAAGGUAACGGCUUACCAAGGCGACGAUACGUAGCCGACCUGAGAGGGUGAUCGGCCACACUGGAACUGAGACACGGUCCAGACUCCUACGGGAGGCAGCAGUAGGGAAUCUUCCGCAAUGGGCGAAAGCCUGACGGAGCAACGCCGCGUGAGUGAUGAAGGGUUUCGGCUCGUAAAACUCUGUUAUUAGGGAAGAACAAAUGUGUAAGUAACUGUGCAUAUCUUGACGGUACCUAAUCAGAAAGCCACGGCUAACUACGUGCCAGCCGCCGCCGUAA
rnacentral:rRNA from 1 species